rnacentral:rRNA from 1 species
UUAUUAAAAACAUGGCUUAUUGAUUAUAAUUUUAAGUCUGACCUGCCCAAUGAGGAAUACUUUAAUGGCCGCGGUAUUUUGACCGUGCAAAGGUAGCAUAAUCAUUAGUUUUUUAAUUGAGAGCUAGAAUGAAGGGUUUGAUGAGAAAAUUACUGUCUCUAUUUAAAUUUUUUAGAAUUUUAUUUUUAAGUAAAAAAGCUUAAAUAAAGAUUGAAGACGAGAAGACCCUAUAGAGUUUUAUAAUUAUAAAAAAUAAAUAAAAUUUUGGUAUUAAAUUUUAUUUAUUUUUUUGGUUAUUUGGUUGGGGAGAUCAAAAAAUUUUAUAAACUUUUUUUGUAUGAAAACAUUAAUUUAUGAAUAUAUGAUCCUUAAGUAAAGAUUAUAAGAUUAAAUUACCUUAGGGAUAACAGCGUAAUUUUUUUUGAGAGUUCAAAUCGAGAAAAAAGAUUGCGACCUCGAUGUUGGAUUAAAAGAAAUUGUUGGUGCAGAGGCUAACAUAUUAGGUCUGUUCGACCUUUUAUAUUUUACAUGAUCUGAGUUUAAACCGGUGUAAGCCAGGUCGGUU